rnacentral:rRNA from 1 species
CCUACGGGUGGCAGCAGUGAGGAAUAUUGGUCAAUGGACGAGAGUCUGAACCAGCCAAGUAGCGUGAAGGAUGACUGCCCUAUGGGUUGUAAACUUCUUUUAUAAAGGAAUAAAACGAGGCACGUGUGCCUUUUUGCAUGUACUUUAUGAAUACGGAUCGGCUAACUCCGUGUCAGCAGCCGCGGUAAUACGGAGGAUCCGAGCGUUAUCCGGAGUUAUUGGGUUUACAGGGAGCGUAGAUGGGUUGUUAAGUCAGUUGUGAAAGUUUGCGGCUCAACCGUAAAAUUGCAAUUGAUACUGGCAGUCGUGAGUACAGUAGAGGUAGGCGGAAUUCGUGGUGUAGCGGUGAAAUGCUUAGAUAUCACGAAGAACCCCGAUUGCGAAGGCAGCUUACUAAACUGUGACUGACAUUGAUGCUCGAAAGUGUGGGUAUCAAACAGGAUUAGAUACCCUUGUAGUC